rnacentral:rRNA from 1 species
CACGUAGGGCGCAAGCGUUUGUCCGGAAUUAUUGGGCGUAAAGAGCUCGUAGGCGGUCUGUUGCGUCCGCUGUGAAAACUCGGGGCUUAACCCCGAGCCUGCAGUGGAUACGGGCAGACUAGAGGUAGGUAGGGGAGAAUGGAAUUCCCGGUGUAGCGGUGAAAUGCGCAGAUAUCGGGAGGAACACCAGUGGCGAAGGCGACUUCCUGGCCUGUUCUUGACGCUGAGGCGCGAAAGCUAGGGGAGCAAACGGGG